GGAGCUGUCCAGGGUCCUCACUGGCAUCUGUUAAGGCAGUAUCUGUGUGGGCCAGGGAAUCUUGAGUUGGCUGUUGGGACCUCAGCCACAGAGUAUCACCUCCAUCUGCCUCUGUGCCCUCUCCAGCAUGGUGUGUCCUAAGGCCAGCCAAACCUCUCCUGCUGGCCCUUGGCCACUGCUCAGUCCCAGCUUCUGCUUUGAUUCAGAGGUCCUUGUAUUUCUCUGAUCCUCCGUCACCACCCAAGGUCUUAAGGACCCAAGUGACACACUUUGAUCUUCAGAGACCUCACUCAUUGGCCAGACUGAUCAUAUCUCUCAUCAACAACCAGCCACAGUGAGUGCCAGGAACAAUGCCGGACAUUGGGCAUUCACUAUGUCCUAUCUAUUCUUCAGAGGAUUCAUCUCAUUUAACCCACUGUUUGAUCAGGUAUGGUUAUAAGCCCCUUUUAGAAAUGAGGAAAAUAAGGCUCAAGUUAGUUGUGGAGCUGGAAUUUGAACCCAGAUGCACUGAAGCUUUCGCUGCAGGCGGAAAACCAAGCCGGCUAUUGAACUAGGUGGGAGCUCAGGAAAACUGUGACCAGGAAUGUGCAUUUACAGAGCGUUCCAGAAGGACUGACUCAGGCCACACCUCCUGAGGACUUCUGGAUCACAGCGUGCAUAUCCAGGAGCUUCCCUGACCGUUCCUCUCCCUGUGAGGUCCCAUCCUGCUCUGGGGCCUCUGUGUUUCCCUCAUCAGAGCACCUGGCACCUGCCCUGUCAUCGCCCAUGACUGCUUUCUGUACUGCUGGCCGUGCACCCCGAGGACAGGACCUGGGUGCUGUUACUGGUUGGUCCCAGUGAUGGGACCCUGGGGCCCAGAAGGUGCGCAGUCUGCACUUGUGGAAUGAAUGAUGAACAAUCAGUGAGGAUUUUGCAUUUGGCCAGGAGGUCGUGCAGAGCCAACCAGCACUGGGCACAAGGCUCCACUGGGGGAGGGUGCCCUGGAUUUCCUCCCCUGUUCACCCAUCCGCUCAUCGCCUUGUGCAGUGCCCAGCUGGUCCAUCUGUUCAAGGCAGCCCUGGGCAUUCAACUCCUGAACUGAGCUUGGGGAAGCCAAGGGCAGAAGAGAAGGGAAGCUCUACUGGGUGGCCUUGGGGGGGGCAGGAAAACUGCCUUUUUCCUGCUUCCAAAAGCCACUCUGCCUGCCUUCAAAUGCCCCUUUCAUCUGCAGCCAGUAGACCCCCUGCAACUCUCCAACCCCACCCUCUGUCCCUGGGGUUUGCCAGGGAAGAAAUGUCAACUCCAACUUUUCCGGGUUUCUGGCCAGGCCCUUCUGAGGGUGGGGUGAGUGAGGUGGGGAGGACGGUUCACAGUGGAGGGAAAGACAGUUUGCUUACCAAUUUGCUCAGGCUGC